rnacentral:rRNA from 1 species
AAGCCUGAUGCAGCCAUGCCGCGUGUGUGAAGAAGGCCUUAGGGUUGUAAAGCACUUUCAGCGAGGAGGAAGGCAUCAUACUUAAUACGUGUGGUGAUUGACGUUACUCGCAGAAGAAGCACCGGCUAACUCCGUGCCAGCAGCCGCGGUAAUACGGAGGGUGCAAGUGUUAAUCGGAAUUACUGGGCGUAAAGCGCACGCAGGCGGUUUGUUAAGUCAGAUGUGAAAUCCCCGCGCUUAACGUGGGAACUGCAUUUGAAACUGGCAAGCUAGAGUCUUGUAGAUUGGGGUAGAAUUCCAGGUGUAGCGGUGAAAUGCGUAGAGAUCUGGAGGAAUACCGGUGGCGAAGUCGGCCCCCUGGACAAAGACUGACGCUCAGGUGCGAAAGCGUGGGGAGCAAACAGGAUUAGAUACCUUGGUAGUCCACGCUGUAAACGAUGUCGACUUGGAGGUUGUGCCCUUGAGGCGUGGCUUCCGGAGCUAACGCGUUAAGUCGACCGCCUGGGGAGUACGGCCGCAAGGUUAAAACUCAAAUGAAUUGACGGGGGCCCGCACAAGCGGUGGAGCAUGUGGUUUAAUUCGAUGCAACGCGAAGAACCUUACCUACUCUUGACAUCCACGGAAUUCGCCAGAGAUGGCUUAGUGCCUUCGGGAACCGUGAGACAGGUGCUGCAUGGCUGUCGUCAGCUCGUGUUGUGAAAUGUUGGGUUAAGUCCCGCAACGAGCGCAA